GGACAACAGGCGGAAACACGUCACUGCGGGACCGCUGCGAGCGACGCACACAGCGCGAGGCCCGAGCCGGGUCCGUUAAAACCGUUGAAAGUUGAACCAGGCGCGCGGCCGUUAAAGCACGACUGGGCAAGUCGGCCAGUGAGAACAGCGAGAAGAGUUUAAAAGGAAGACAGAUUUACAGAGCGAGCGUCAGAGGAGCGGGAGACAGAGUAGGAAGGCUUUGGCUCAACGGGGCUUCGGCGAUGAAGGGUCGAGGCGAGGUUUGCGGAUGACACUAAGAUGUAGGCAUUGUGGACAGCGAGGAAGGCUUUCAAAGCUUGCAGAGGGAUCUGAACCAACUGGAAGAAUGGGCCAGAAAAUGGCAGAUGGAAUUUAAUGCAGACAAGUGUGAGGUGUUCCAUUUUGGAAGGACAAAUCAAGGCUGAGCCAGUCACGAUGUGACGCACCCCACACUGGUCUACAGUCUCUUAUUCUCCGAGGAGCUGGUACAUGAACCCAGGCAAAUCCCCGAUGAUGUGCGGAAGAGCAGGAAGCUGAAGAGGAUGGCAGUGGUAAUAGGAAGAGAAUGAGGUGGCAGAAAAAUGUGUGGCAGAGCAUUUGGAGCAGGGAGCAGGAAUUCAGAUUUCUGGAUAAUUGUUACCACUUCCGGGGCAGCAAAUGGAGAUUGGAGCAAAGACCUCCAACUGAACACAAAUUUCAAGAAGAUAGCAAGGAAAUAUAAGGAAACUUACUUAAAGGAGCGAUGCAUUGAAGCUGAAGAAGCCAACAGAAUUGGAAAAAAGAAGAGAUCUGUUGCAGAAGAAUUGAGAUAUCAUAGGAACAUUUCAUGUAAAAUGAGCAUAGGAAAAGACAAAGAAGGGAAGGACCUUACAGAAGCAAAGGGCAUCAAAGGGAGUUGGCAGGAACACACAGAAGAAUUGCAAAAAGAUCCAACAGUGAAGACAUUAGCAAUGACUCCCUCAUCGAUCUAGAGCCAGACAUUCUGGAAAGCGAAGUCGAAUGGGUGUUAGAAAACAUUGCCAAUAAUAAGGCUGCAGGUUAUGACAGGAUUUCAGUAAAAUUGUUGAAAUUUCUAAAAGGUGAUGCUGUAAAAGUGUUGCAUGCAAUUUUCCAGCAGAUCUGGGAAAAUAUAAACAACAAGGACGCUUUCUUCUUUUUUUGUAAUCUUGUCCUCAAGUGGACUGCCCAGUUCCCCCCUUUUUUUUUGUUUUAGUUUUUAGUUUGUUUAGUGUUUUAUUUCUCUCCUAUAAAUUGAACAUUUCCAGACUUUUUUUGUAUGAAUUGUCAAGAGGAGUUGUGGUUCUCUGUUUAUAUAUAAUAGCCUAAUAUUAUAUUACACAUGAUUUAGACAGUGUAUAUCAUUUUCUUUGUUUGUACGUUUAUUCUAUUAUGUAUUUGAUAUAACUUCACCUCUGAUUCGUAUCUAUUCAUAUAAAUUUUUUAAUCAAUAAAGAAAGAUUGAAAAUGAUGGUAAAUGCAGCGUAUUAAACGGCGCUUACUUCUGGGGAGGGUAGCAAUGGCAAAUUUAGAUAAAAUACUGAAGUGCAGAGACAUAACAUUGUCUGCGAAGGACCGUAGAGUCAAGUAUAUAGUAUUUCCAGUUGUGAUGUAAGGCUGUGAGAGCUGGACUAUUAGUAAGGCUGAAUACAAAAUAAUCAACGCCUCUGAACUUGGAUGUUGGGGGAAAGAGUUCGUUGGACAGCAAGAAGAUCCAACAAGUCAAUACUUGGAGAAAUACGCCAGACUGCUCACUGGGAAGCUUGAAAAGCUCAAUUAUUUUGACCACAUCAUGAGGGGACAGGAUUCCUUGGAGAAGACUCUCAUGUUCGGUAAAACAGAAGGCAAAAGAAGGAGAGGAUGGCAGAGGCUACGAUGGAUAGAUAAUAAUAUUCAGGAAAUGCCUAUACCCUUGGGGUAUCUUAGAGAGGCAGUCUCCAGUAAAGAGGCUUUGUGUGCAGUAAUGCUGUUGUAUUUGGCUGUGUUCAUGUGUUUUCAUGUAUGUUUUGAAUGUCUACUAAACUUGAACAUAAAUUGGACAAUGAUUGUAUCAUAAACAAAAAAAAAGAAUGAAUAUAGAUGUUUUCAGUCAAUAACAGACUUGUAAGUGUUGCAUUUUGUCCCUAAUGCAGACAGGGAGCAGCCAUACUCCAAGCAUCUGACCACACAACACCCACUGGGGCAGCCUGCUGGCCCGAGGUGUGUCUGUUUACUCCGCCGUUUAAACCCAGACACCUCAAACAAAAAGCAGCCACCGGGUCCCUCCAGCCCAACGUGUCAGAUAGUAAGAUCGUGACUUGCUGUUAAAAUCACCCGACUCCGCACUUGCAGGCAACACUUUAUUGGUGUCCACUAAAAAUAUGCUGAAGCCUUCUCCAUCCGAGCUCAUUCUGAGGAGAUAAAUCCCCUGAACUCCCACUUCAGUCCAUCGCCCUGACAACUCCGCCAACUCCUUGCUAAGGAAACUCCUAAAUGACGAAGCCCAUAUCCCUAUUGGUUGGUAUGCUAAAUUGGUAUUUGGUUUCACCAAUGAGAGACAAGUAAAUGUCACGUCACUUCACGAGAGAUACCGGUCACGCGCAGCAUGCUUAAAUCUUCUCAUCGUCAGCCCGAGGGUGACGAAUUUCCGCGAGAGGGCGCGCGUGGGCAGUGGGCGGGGCGGUGAGCUGGUGUGCGGUAGAUGGGGAGACUGUAGAGUCAGUAACAGGGAACGGGGA